rnacentral:rRNA from 1 species
AAACCUGAGAAACCCGAAAGUUCGAAUGAGAUGAUUCAAUAUCUUACAUUUGGUCGAACAUAGUAUUUUAUGUGAUAAUUUUUUAAUGGUCUCACGGUCAUUAAUAUUACACUAAUUUGCUUAUGAUAAUUUGGCUAUGGAGGUAUGCACUUCUUCUCUAGUAGGACGUUGCAACUCAUUGGAUGUUAAUCUAAGGACCCAUAGGCUAGCCUAUUUUAUAUAUAUUUCGGUAUAUGUGAUUUAGACCUUGGUGCUUUCCUGAUUAACUUGUUCGAUGGUAUAUCAUAAUAUUGGGCCGCCUAUAUGGCAUUCAAACUAAUAACAAGUGUGUACGGAUAAAAUUUUGGCUAACAGACCUAGUGCUGUUACCGAAACCGUUAUACUGCUCGAAUUUAGUAUAUUGAAUAGACCUUUUAUAUUGGUUAGCAACGCUUUAGCUUUGGGUACUUUCAGGAC